UGAGGAAUCUUGCGCAAUGGGGGCAACCCUGACGCAGCAACGCCGCGUGAGUGAGGAAGGCCUUCGGGUCGUAAAGCUCUGUCGGAUGGAAAGAAACGGAUGCGGGUUAAUAGCCUUCAUCCCUGACGGUACCAUCAGAGGAAGCACCGGCUAACUCCGUGCCAGCAGCCGCGGUAAUACGGGGGGUGCAAGCGUUGUUCGGAAUCAUUGGGCGUAAAGCGCGUGUAGGCGGCUUGGUAAGUCAGGUGUGAAAGCCCUGGGCUCAACCCAGGAAGUGCACUUGAAACUGCCUUGCUUGAGUACGGGAGAGGAAAGCGGAAUUCCUGGUGUAGAGGUGAAAUUCGUAGAUAUCAGGAGGAACACCGGUGGCGAAGGCGGCUUUCUGGCCCAAUACUGACGCUGAGACGCGAAAGCGUGGGGAGCAAACAG
rnacentral:rRNA from 1 species